GAAUGCCGGAGGUGUUGUGUUCAGCUGGCUGGCUGAGGUGAAGUUAAAGAUUAGCCAGUGACCCCACCCAGGCCCAGCUCCUGAGGGUGUGUGGUACUGUACACUGCUGGCUGCUGACCUGAAGCUCUCGGCCUCCUCCCUGCGUUUGCUGCCGGAACCCCAGCCCAGGGAAUGUUCCGGAGGGGACAUGCCUUACGUGGAUAGGCAGAACCGGAUCUGUGGCUUCCUAGAUAUCGAGGAGAAUGAGAGCAGCGGGAAAUUCCUCCGUCGCUACUUCAUCCUGGACACACAGCUGGGUAGCCUGGUCUGGUACAUGGACAACCCGCAGAAUCUGCCCGUGGGUGCAGACUGUGUCGCCUCCCUCAAGCUCACCUACAUCUCCAAGGUGAGCGAUGCUACCAAGCAGAGACCAAAGGCUGAGUUUUGCUUUGUCAUCAACGCUGGGAUGAGGAAGAUCUUCCUGCAGGCGAACGACCAGCAGGACCUGGUGGACUGGGUCAACGCUCUCAACAAGGCCACCAAAAUAACUGUCCCCAGGCUGGGUGACGGCCAGCAGGACGUGCAGAGCCAGGGAGCCCUGCUGGAGCAGGCGGGGCCCAGGAAGCAGGCGUCCUACAGGACGGAGAUCAUCGGAGGGGUGCCCAUCAUCACCCAGACGCAGCAGGAAGGUGGAGAGGGCCAGGAAGGACCAGACAGGGAGGGUCUGCGACGGUCUCACAGCCAGCUUCCGUACUUCCUGGGCAGGCCGGCUCUGGACCAGACGGUCAUCAAGUCUGGCUACUGUGUCAAGCAGGGCGCCGUGAUGAAGAAUUGGAAGCGGAGGUAUUUCUUACUGGAGGAGAACUCGAUGAGUUACUUCAAAUCAGAUCUGGAAAAGGACCCUCUGAGAGUGAUCCCAUUGAAAGAGGUUAACAAAGUCCAGGAGUGCAAACAAAGUGACAUCAUGAUGAGGGACAACCUGUUCGAGGUGGUCACCCCGUCCAGGACCUUCUUCCUCCAGGCCGACAGCCCGGAGGAGAUGCACAGCUGGAUCAAGGCCGUGUCUGGAGCCAUCGUGGCCCAGCGGGGCCCCGGGAGGUCUGCAGCCUCAAUGCGGCAGGCCCGCCGGCUGUCGAACCCCUGUAUACAGAGGUACACGUCCCGCAUCGGGGAGUGCAGCAGCACUCUCCUGCAGCUGUGCACGUGUCUUAGAUGUGUAACAUCCUGCCUGUCUCUUGUCCUUCCUCCUGUCCGCAGCCUGUACGUCCACACACACACACACACGUUUAUAUUUGUGUCUCUGUGUGGUAGUCUGUGUUUCAGUAAUGUCUAUGUGACUGCUCACUAACAUUGUCUAUCUUUCUGUUCUGUAUUUCUGUUCAUCCCCUCCUUGUUUUUCAGAGAGUGAAGUCUGAUAGUAAAAUACUAGCAUUGAAACACUGAGAUAUUCCAUCUACUGCUCCCAGCUCUCUUCUAACCCUCCUACCCAUCACCACUCUACCCAUUCCACCACCCAUCACUACUAUACUCUACCAGCUUUACUUCUAUUACCUACUACUAUUCUACUCUACCAGCUCCAUAUAUACUUCUACUGAUCACUACUCUACCAACUACAUAUAUACCUCUACUCUACCAGCUAUUAAUUCUUCUACUACAUACUACUCUACUGUAUCAACCAGCAUUCAUCCAGGAUGCUGUCAGAACAUCUAUGACUGCUACCAACACUUCUCCUACUACCACCACUACGGGAACCCUGCGGUCGUUCCUCUCCCUCCACAUUCUACCGGAGCCCCGCGGGCCCCCCCCUCCCUCGCUCGCCCAUAUCUGCAGUGCCACCCUUCUCAGAGUGCCCUGCUGUCGCGGGCGGCGCACGCCCGCAGCAUGG